CGGUUUUGAACAAACUGAUUAUUUGUUCUUUGCUGAAUGGUUCAAGAAGUUUACGGAUGGUUUCUUGCUUUAUCGACUCGGAUUCGGGUUCCGGUUCCGGUUCGGUUUCUUCUUCUUCUUCUUCUUCUUCUUCUUCUUCUACUUCUUCGUAUUCUACUUCUUCUUCUUCUUCGUAUUCGACUUGUUCUUCUUCUUCUUGUUCUUCUUCAGAGGAUGAAGAUUGAGGUUUUUGUGGUACAGGUUGGGGCUUUGGGGUUGAAGAAGAAGCUUUUCGCUUAGUUCCCAUUGAAGCAAAUUGGAAGCUCAGCUCGGUAUGGAAAAGUGCUAAACCCUAUUACCCGCUUUGGUUAUAUCUUAUAGAGUUGGGCUUCUUGUAAAUAGACACGAUUCUCUUAAUAAAACAUACAAAUUUGAUCUCAAUUGAUAAGCAAACAAUUUUAAGGUGAAAUAUAUACGAGUGCAAAUUGACUAAUGUGAUCUUUGAAAAAAUUACUUUAAAUUAUACUUACGUUAUUAAUAUUAUUUAAAAUUUCAACUUUCAAAACUUUUUUUUCUUGGUAAACAAGAGAUGCAUUAAGAUAAAAGAGAUAAUUACAAAGGUACUAGUUCGGUUCAAGAGCAAAAAACCUUGGGCUAUUCCUAAGAGAAAGUAAAGGGUCCUUUCUUAGAUGUGUAGUUCCAACUACAUCUGCCCAAACAUUCCGGGCUACAAAAGGAGGAGAUACAAAUACACUACAAAGACCCAGAUCUUCCUUCCUUACUCCAUGUUUGGCUAAUACAUCAGCAACCAAAUUCUCCUCCCUAUAGCAGUGUUGAAUUGUUGGUGACCCCAGCUUUUCUAGCAGCAAUCUGCAUUCAUGAAGAAGAGAGUUAUAGACAAGAUUACCCUGCUGAAGCAUUAGAAUUAUUUCCUUAGAGUCAAUAUUAACAUGAACUGGAAAUAAUUGAUGCUGUAGAACAAGUUUGAUCCCUUGAAUCAGAGCUAAAAGCUCCAUCAAAUUAUUAGUAGCAUAAAGAAAGUGCUGAGCAAACCCCACUACCCAAUCCCCUUUAGAAUUCCUAACAACUCAUCCGAUACCCCCAUUCCCAAUAUUACCCAAAUAAGAUCCAUCAAUGUUGAGUUUGAAGGUACCUCUCAGGAGAGGCUUCCAAGCAAGGGAAACAGGGAUACGAGUAGGGAUAGUAAUUUGGUGAGUGAUGUGGGAAAAUUUAGUAGCUUCUACAUAAGCUUGGGUAAAGGAAGGAGGUAAGACUUGAUUAUUAAAGAGAUUAGAGUUUCUAGUUUUCCAAAUUGUCCAAAGGCAAAAGGCAAAAAGGGUGGACCAGGGGAGGGAACUAUCAAAGUUCGAAUGCUGAAGCUGCUUGACUGUGCUGGUCCAAUUGGUGGGAUGAAAGAAGUCUAGGGAGAUGGAGAGUUCUCUCUUGUAAAGAAAGAUCAGGUGAGCCCAGAAAGAGGUAGCAUCAAGACACUCAAAGAAUAGGUGAGGGAUGUUCUCCAAAAGAUGGGUACAAGUGGAGCAGGAAGAGGAAAGGUUGGCCUCUAUGAGCAAGAGUAGCUCUAGUAGGGAGGUUGUUAUGAUUUAUUAACCAAAGGAAGGACUUAAGCUUGUUAGAAAUUUUUGCUCUCCAAAUCCAGUUCCAGUGGGGCAGAGUAGGCCUAACACCAUUUGUCUUAGAUGGUAAAAACUGGUAUGCAGUUCCACAAGUAAAAGAUCCAUUUCUAGAAAGAAGCCAUCGAGGAGAGUCAGUUCUGAUUGUAGGGUCGGGAAUAAAGGUGUUAUGAAUUCUAGCUACUAAAGAAGCAGGAAUUUGGAAUGGGGGAGAAUCUAAGAAUAAUACACCAUUAGAUAGAUGAGAGGCAAGCUUGAGGGGGUUGGGGUCAGGUAAGGGACCCUGAAUAAGUGAAGAAAGGGGUGGAAGAGAGGCAACCCAGCAAUCCUGCCAAAUAUCAAUCUUGCUCCCAUCAUAGACAAACCAAAAAAGAGCAUCCUUACAUAAGGACCAACCUCUCUUAAUAUCCAGGUAGAAUAGGAGGGGGAAGUAUUAUGGGUGGUGUUGCCAUAUUUGUUAGCUAAAAGUUGGGCACAAAGAGAGAAAGGAGAGGUGUGGAAUCUCCAAGCAAGGCUGCACAGGAGAGAGUCAUUUUUUAGGCUGGCAGUUUGGACCCCUAGUCCCCAUUGAUGCUUAGGGAGGAUGACAGUGUUUCAAUUAACCAAAUGAAUCAUUUUCUUAACAUCAGUAGUACCCCAGGUAAAGUUUCGUUGGGUUCUAUUAAGAUUUUUAUGAACUUUGCUAGGAACAAGGAUAGAUUGCAUGACAUGGUUGGAAAUACUGCUGAGGCAAGCUUUAGCUAGAGUGACUCUUUUAGCCAUGUUGAGGAAUUUAGUUUUUCAACCAGCAGGUCUGGAAUGGAUGUUGUCAAGAAAGAACUGGAAGUUAGCAAGCUUUGGAGGGCCCUAAAACAUGGGAAAGCCCAGGUAUUUCCCAAAUGAAGCACUGGCCUUGAUACCUAGGAUAGACGAGAGGUCAGCUUGAGUUGUUGGACUAUGGUUAGAAGAAAAGAUGAUCUUAGACUUGCUAAGGUUGACCUUUUGGCUAAAGUGUGUACUAAAGCUAUUAAGGGUCCUGAUGAUGGUAUUACAAGAAGUCUUAUCUGCCUUAGCAAAUAAGGUAAGAUCAUCAGCAAAGAUGAGAUGGGAGAGAGAAGGGCCUCUUCGAUUGAUCUGGAUGGGACUCCAUUGAUGUUUAUCAACCUUAUGGUUGAUCCUUCUAGUCAGUAGUUCGAUACAAAUAAUGAAGAGGUAGGGGGACAUAUGAUCACCCUAUCUAAUGCCCCUAGAGGGAUAGAAGGCAGGGGUUUUGCCCUUAUUCACUAUAACAGAGAUAGAGGAGAAGGAGAGGCGUGACAUAAUGAGGGCAGGGAGACCAGGGAAACUUAAAGAAGAAAAUAGCUUGUCUAAUAAAAGACCAUUCAAUCCUAUCAAAAUCUUUUUCUAAAUCAAUCUUAAGGAUCAUGCUUUGAUAUCUACCUUUUGGGUAUUAAGGUGUCUUAAGUAUUCCUGAACUAUAAUAGCAUUGUCAAAGGCCUUUCUUUUGGAGAGAAAACUGGCUUGAUUAGGUCCAAUGAUGGUUUGGAGGUAAGACUUUAUUCUAUUGGCAGUAAUCUUAGUGAAAACUUUAUACUGAGUAUUGCAAAGGCCAAUUGGCCUGAAGUUCCUAAGAGAGGUGGCAUUCUUACACUUAGGAAUCAGGCACAAGUAAGUAGAAUUCAUCCUAGCAUCUAUGGUAUAAGUGGCGAAGGUAUAGAUGCAAAAGUCAACCAGUAAGGAACCCAAAGUGUCCCAAUAUUUCUGGUACAUGAAAGGGUGAAAACUAUCAGGACCAGGAGUUUUUGUAGGCUUGAAAGAGAAGACAACAUUUUUUAUUUCAGCAUAAAAAGGGAGAGAGUCUAUAGAAAGACGUCUGGAGAUGCUAAUAGACCCAACACUAUAGGGAUUAACUUGGCAAGCAAAGAAACUAUAAGUAAGAGCAGUGGAUAAUAGAGAGGUAUAGAAGGAGAAAAUAGUAUUUUUGAUGUCCUGCUGGUUGUGUAGCCAAACACCAUCUUCAUGGAGAGAGUGAAUGCUAUUUUUCCUCCUCCUAUUUAGGGUUGUCGUAUGGAAAAAUUUGGUGUUUCUGUCCACUUCUAUAAGCCAAUUGAUUCUAGAUUUCAGUAUCCAGAAGUCAGAUUCAUCCCUGAGAAGGGAUUUGAAAUCCUUAAGAAGUUGGUGCUCUAGGUUGUGCAGAAAGGUGCUGGUAGGGUACUGGAGGGAUUUCUGAAUCCCAGCUAAUCUAUCAAGAAUAUGCUUCUUUCUAUGGAAGAAUUUACCAAAGAUCUCACUAUUCCAGGUUCUAGCCUUCUGCUCAAAGUCAAAGGUGGCACUAGUAAGGUCAGAUCUAGCAGGAAAACAUUGACUCACUAAGCUAAGAAAGUCAUUAUGGUUACACCACUUUCACUUUGAAAGGUUUCAGGAUAUUUAGGGAAGGUCUAGUAAGCUAGAGUAGUAAGGGACAAUGAUCAGAGUGGGUCCUAGUAAGGUAGAAAACAGAGAAGUCAGGAUACAAAUGGAUCCAGCUAUCAGUAGCUAAGCAUCUAUCAAGCCUUUCCAUGAUAAGGACCUGUCUAUUCCUAUAUCUCAUAAGUACAGGUGAACUUACUGCUACUAAAGCCUAGAUCUAUGAGCCUACAAUAGUUAAUACAGUUCCAAAAAGUAUUUGUCCUAUGCAUAUUAAUGUUGUUUCCCCCAAAUUUCUCAGAGGCACUUAGGAUUUCAUUAAAGUCACCCCCAACUAACCAAGGAAUACUGUCAUCAUGAUUAAGAGAGUCAUCUAUGUUCGUCAGCUGAUCCCAAAGGUUAUUCCUAAGUAAGACAUUAGUACUAGCAUAAACUAUAGUAAGAAUCCAAGAGGAAAGAGGAUUACUAACCUGGACAGUAGCAUGGAUAGCCUGAGAGAAAAUGAAAAUGCUAGAAAUGGAAAUAGUAUUUUCUCUCUAAAGGAUGACAAUACCUCUAGAGUGUCUAGUAGCACUAUAUUGAAGAAAAUAGGAGAAGCCCAGCUCAUCAUCUAACUUAGAGUGGUUCACCAUCCUAGUUUCCAAAAGAGCUAGGAUGAAGGGUUGAUGGAUGUUAACCAUAGACCCGCAGUGUCUACGGAAUUCAGCAUUGUUGGCAUCCCUAGUAUUCCAUAGUAUGCAGUUUUAUAUCAUUGGUUGGGGUGCUUGGGGGGGGGGGGUAAAAAAAAUGAGUUUUUUAACGUUGGUUGGGGGGUUGGGGGGGGGGGGGGUCACUACUGCUAUUUCUUUUCCUUUUCUAGAAGAGCUGGAGGGCCCCAGAGGGGUGGGGUUCUUCAUCUUCUUGGAUAUUGGAGCAACCUUCGCUCUGAAGGGGUCUUCUAGCAUAGGGUUUGGUAAGCAGAUUCUUAGUUCUAGCUUGUUGAGGUCUUGAGGGAGAAUAAAGAUGACCAUCUCAUUUAGGAGCUAUACAAACUAUAGAUUUAUAGGAUUUUCCAGAGUGAGCACAUCAUCUUUGGAACCCUUAACUAUGCUAACAAUAGUUUCAUCUCGCAACUGCUCUCCCUUAGGAAGGCUAGUGUUUUCUCCCUUUCUAGCAGCUCCAGUAAGAGAAUGUUGGAGGGGUGGGACAAUGAGGGGGCUAGAACAGGUGGUGUUUGGUUGUCCCUAUAGAGAUUGACAAAAUGAGAACCGUGGGAUAAUAGAGCCUAAUUCAGAGGGGGAUAGAAGGGGAGAGUUAGGCUGGUUUGGGUCAUUAGCUCUGAGAUGAGAGCUGGAGUGAGGCCCUCCUAGAAGGAGAGGCUGAAAAUAUGAAGCAUUGUCGCCAACCAUAUAUUUGGACCGAAGUGAUGGAGACCUUCAUUGAGACAGGUCAUAGCCAGCUGGGCCAGAUAGGUCGGAUCCUAAAUAAAGAGAGUGAAGUGCAUCCCCUGCCAAUGGAGAUGAAAGGGAAAAGACUGAUUUGAGAGACACACUUCCAACCAUGAUGUUGUAAGGUGAGAUGUAGGAACCGGUUCUGUGAAUAAAGUGAUCGUUGGGGGUAGUUGGAGUUCAUUUUGGCAAGCAAUGAUUUGCAUGGAAACAGUAUGAGGUUUAAAACCGGAAGUAUCAGUAGAAAGUUGAAGAUUUGGGGCUACAGGACAUUCAGACGCAUUUAAUGCUAUGUCUAAAACAACCAUGUUGUCCAUCAAAUCUCCAUGGGGAGUUGAAACAGAUGUUGUCAGCAUGGUAUGAGGAAUAUCCCCAGUUGGGGAAGGCAAUAACUAGCUGAGAAGAGGGUGGGUCUACCUGGGGAUUCUUUUUUCCUAAUGUAUUAUUUAAAAGAAAGGAAUAAAUAAUAUUAACAGAAACAAUAGAAAUAAAAGAAAAACCAGGUUUGGGCUGGGAGCUGGGGAGAGAAUCUAAGUCCAUGGAUGGUUUUGGGCCAACCGCAUUUAAUGCUAUGUUUAAAACAACCAUGUUGUCCAUCAAAUCUCCAUGGGGAUUUGAAACAGACGCCGUCAGCAUGGUAUGAGGAAUAUCCCUAGGUGGGGGAGGCAAUGAUUAGCUGAGAAGAGGGUGGGUCCACCUGGGGUUUUUUUUUCCUACAGUAUUAUUUAAAAGAGGGGAAUAAAUAAUAUUAAUAGGAAUAGUAGAAAUAAAAUAAAAGCUAGGUUUGGGCUGGGAGCUGGGGAGAGGAUCCAAGUCCAUGGAUGUUUUUGGGCCAAAGGGUGGCCCAACAGUAUUUAUUAUUGACCCAGUGGGAGAGUAAUUAGGUAGAUGAUACUUUGAAAGGUUUGAGUGGGCCUUGGUCCAAAUGGGGGAUAGGCCAGAAGAUGGGUCAAACCGGUGAGGCCCAACAUUAGGUUAAAACCCUAACAUACCCUAGCCGCCGCAACCGGAGGAAGAGGCGGCAUGAACAUUCAUGGACCUCUCUGUGUGUGGGGGGGGGGGGUUGAGGGAUUAUGCUUCUUCUUCCUAGGGAAAAAAACAAUAUGCCAUUCACCGGAGUUUGUCUCAACCUUCAUCAAAAUCGGUGAGACUUGGUCUUGCAAGGGAGCCACUGGAGGAGAAACUUGCUUCAUGAUGUAAGUUUGGGCGGUGUGACCAAGGUAGCCGCACAAUUUACAGAGGAUUUUCCCUCCUUCAUAAACUAGAGAUUGCUUGUGUUUCCCAAUGAUGAUGAAGGAUUUGACGGGGCGACCCAAUUCGUUCUGAACGCAGAUGCGUGCAUAUCUACCCCUAAUGGUGGAAGAUGUGCAUACAUCUACCUUCAAUAGUGUUCCAAUCUUGCGACCUAUCCUCUCCAAGAUAUGCAAAUCAUAAAAUUCAAUCGUCAGUUGAGGGAGACACACCCAAACAGUCGGGGAAUCGAUUUGGGAAUCACUGGGUACGAAAUUCAAUUCCCAACUCCGGAUGGAAAUAUAUCUACCGGCAUAAACCAGGGCCCCCCCGGUAAGAUCUUAGUCUGGCUUGCCGGAUUUUGUAAUUUGAUGGUGAAGAAAUCAAACCCAAGUCAAUCAAGCAGAGGGGUUCAGGAAGUCACCAAAGGGCUUCCAAUUUCGUCUUCAAAUACUGGUGAGCAAACUUAACUCUAAAGGCUUUCUUGAUCAGCGAGUGCUGCCAAAGGGAAUACAAACGAUUUUUGUCUUCUAAACUAAGAGUGAUUAUAGAGUCAUCUAGAUCAACUGAGGCAGGAUCAUGUGACGAGCCAUCGAUCACGAAAGUUGACGAGGUUAAUUUGCCUGAGGUAAUGUCGCAGUAAGAAGGAGGGUUGGAGGUAGGCUCGAGGAGAGAUUUAGUAGAAUCUAAGGGAGAUGGAGAAGAAUCAGACAUAGUGAAGUCCAUGGUUGCGUGGAGUAGGUUUGAAGCUAUAUAGUAUAGAAUAGAAUAAGAAAGGAAACAAGGGAAUGUGAAAGAGGAAAGAUAGAGAGAGGUGAGACUCUCUCUCUAACCCAUUCUCCUAAUUUCACAACUUUCAAAACUAGUUAUAAAAAGUCCUUUUCACACUUUCUCUAUUUAACUAUAGAUAAAUAACCAACUUCCUUAUUUUAAAGCCGAAUGCUCCUUAAACAACCCAUAAAAUCAAGGAUAUUAUCAAACGAUUUUUCAAUUUUGAAAAUUUUCUCAAGUUGCUCAAUAUCAAGUUUCAAUUUAUACCAAGAAACUCCAUUAAUAUUCCUCUUCAGUUUCUUUCAAGUCUUUUGUUAACUUUAUUAAAAAAAUGCAAUUCUUCUUCCGUUUAAAUUAUAGUUUCUACGAAGAGUUCCAGCUCCGAUGAAUU
rnacentral:lncRNA from 1 species